AAGUCGUAACAAGGUUUCCGUAGGUGAACCUGCGGAAGGAUCAUUCCAAGAUCUCUUGCAAAAGACAUCGCUUGUGUCUCGACUGUGUUUCGCAUCAACGCUUCACACAUUGAUCGUUCAACAACCACAAAACUCAUACAACUGCUGGCAACGGAUCACUCGGCUCUC
rnacentral:misc_RNA from 1 species